rnacentral:rRNA from 1 species
UUACACAUGCGAGUCGAACGAUGAUCCGGUGCUUGCGCCGGGGAUUAGUGGCGAACGGGUGAGUAACACGUGAGUAACCUGCCCUUAACUCUGGGAUAAGCCUGGUAAACUGGGUCUAAUACCGGAUAUGACUCCUCAUCGCAUGGUGGGGGGUGGAAAGCUUUAUUGUGGUUUUGGAUGGACUCGCGGCCUAUCAGCUUGUUGGUGAGGUAAUGGCUCACCAAGGCGACGACGGGUAGCCGGCCUGAGAGGGUGACCGGCCACACUGGGACUGAGACACGGCCCAGACUCCUACGGGAGGCAGCAGUGGGGAAUAUUGCACAAUGGGCGCAAGCCUGAUGCAGCGACGCCGCGUGAGGGAUGACGGCCUUCGGGUUGUAAACCUCUUUCAGUAGGGAAGAAGCGAAAGUGACGGUACCUGCAGAAGAAGCGCCGGCUAACUACGUGCCAGCAGCCGCGGUAAUACGUAGGGCGCAAGCGUUAUCCGGAAUUAUUGGGCGUAAAGAGCUCGUAGGCGGUUUGUCGCGUCUGCCGUGAAAGUCCGGGGCUCAACUCCGGAUCUGCGGUGGGUACGGGCAGACUAGAGUGAUGUAGGGGAGACUGGAAUUCCUGGUGUAGCGGUGAAAUGCGCAGAUAUCAGGAGGAACACCGAUGGCGAAGGCAGGUCUCUGGGCAUUAACUGACGCUGAGGAGCGAAAGCAUGGGGAGCGAACAGGAUUAGAUACCCCUGGUAGUCCAUGCCGUAAACGUUGGGCACUAGG